AUUGACUCCAAUGGAACGCUUUUUUUUACAGCAAUGGCGGCUCGUGGAGCCUCUAAAUAGUUCCCGGAAGUAGCAGCAAACCGAUGCCGCGCCGUAGAGAUGCAGCAGAACAAACCGUUCGCGACGCACUUUUAACAGACCCAGGUAACUGGCUGAUGGUUCAAUGGAAUGCUGGCUGACUUGCUGCUGGUUGACUGGGCAGUGUCACCUGUCCCUGUCUCUCCUCUCUAGCCAUGUCCUUUUUCUUCACUCUCACUUUCCCUUCUCUGAGUGUCCUUGUUCUUUUUUCCUCAACCUUUGAAACUGAUAGAGGUAGAAUACAUGGUUUUGCUAAUUUUAAAUAUUGAAAAUAUCACAUCACUUUACUAGUACGAGUUUGUACUUAUUAUAUAUGAAUCACCUGAAAUAACAGCUGUAAUCAGUAGCCCUUUCUUGUAUGUUCACAGGUCUAGGGGUGCAUCGUGGAGCAGGGCCCUCCUCUUUUUGACCACAGGACAAUGUACAAAGAUUGUGGGAAUAGCAUCUGCGGGGAAGCCAUACAUUCGCACACCUUUCUCUGACUGAGUGGAGCAUCCCCAUGCAGCACUGUAAACCACGGUGGAGACUAUGCAAGGACAACAUGAAAGAAAGGACACAUACAAAAUGCUUGUCAUGCUAUUACAUUUAUUAGAAAUGUAUUAAUGAAUUGCUGUAAAUAGUUAAUUGUAUAAUUACAAUUUAAAAUAACUGUUUUCUAUUUUAAAAU